UGGGGAAUAUUGGACAAUGGGCGAAAGCCUGAUCCAGCCAUGCCGCGUGUGUGAAGAAGGCCUUUUGGUUGUAAAGCACUUUAAGCGAGGAGGAGGCUACUUGGAUUAAUACUCUAGGAUAGUGGACGUUACUCGCAGAAUAAGCACCGGCUAACUCUGUGCCAGCAGCCGCGGUAAUACAGAGGGUGCGAGCGUUAAUCGGAUUUACUGGGCGUAAAGCGUGCGUAGGCGGCUUUUUAAGUCGGAUGUGAAAUCCCUGAGCUUAACUUAGGAAUUGCAUUCGAUACUGGGAAGCUAGAGUAUGGGAGAGGAUGGUAGAAUUCCAGGUGUAGCGGUGAUAUGCGUAGAGAUCUGGAGGAAUACCGAUGGCGAAGGCAGCCAUCUGGCCUAAUACUGACGCUGAGGUACGAAAGCAUGGGGAGCAAACAGG
rnacentral:rRNA from 1 species